UACGUAGGUGGCGAGCGUUGUCCGGAUUUACUGGGGCGUAAAAGGGUGCGUAGGCGGAUGUUUAAGUGAGAUGUGAAAUACCCGGGCUUAACUUGGGUGCUGCAUUUUCAAAACUGGAUAUCUAGAGUGCAGGAGAGGAGAAUGGAAUUCCUAGUGUAGCGGUGAAAUGCGUAGAGAUUAGGAAGAACACCAGUGGCGAAGGCGAUUCUCUGGACUGUAACUGACGCUGAGGCACGAAAGCGUGGGUAGCAAAACAGG
rnacentral:rRNA from 1 species